rnacentral:rRNA from 1 species
GAACGAGAAAGUGGAGCAAUCCAUGAGUAAAGUGGCGACCGGGUGAGUAACACGUGACUAACCUGCCCUUGAGUGGGGGAUAACCUCGGGAAACCGGGGCUAAUACCGCAUAACAUCGCAAGAUCAAAGGAGCAAUCCGCUGAAGGAGGGGGUCGCGGCUGAUUAGUUAGUUGGUGAGGUAACGGCUCACCAAGACGAAGAUCAGUAGCCGGCCUGAGAGGGCGCACGGCCACACUGGAACUGAAACACGGUCCAGACUCCUACGGGAGGCAGCAGUGGGGAAUUUUGCGCAAUGGGGGAAACCCUGACGCAGCAACGUCGCGUGGAGGAUGAAGUCCCUUGGGAUGUAAACUCCUUUCGAUCGGGACGAUGAUGACGGUACCGGAAGAAGAAGCACCGGCUAACUCUGUG